UACAGAGACUGCAAGCGUUAUUCGGAUUCACUGGGCGUAAAGGGUGCGCAGGCGGUUGUGUGUGUCAGGUGUGAAAGCCCGGGGCUUAACCCCGGAAUUGCGCCUGAAGCUACAUGACUAGAGCAUUGGAGAGGGUAGCGGAAUUCACGGUGUAGCAGUGAAAUGCGUAGAUAUCGUGAGGAACACCAGAGGCGAAGGCGGCUACCUGGACAAUUGCUGACGCUCAGGCACGAAAGCGUGGGGAGCAAAAGGG
rnacentral:rRNA from 1 species